rnacentral:rRNA from 1 species
AGUCGAGGGGUAUUUAUCUUCGGAUAGAGAGACCGGCGCACGGGUGCGUAACGCGUAUGCAAUCUACCUUUUACAGAGGGAUAGCCCAGAGAAAUUUGGAUUAAUACCUCAUAGUAUUAUGAAAUGGCAUCAUUUUAUAAUUAAAGUCACAACGGUAAAAGAUGAGCAUGCGUCCCAUUAGCUAGUUGGUAAGGUAACGGCUUACCAAGGCUACGAUGGGUAGGGGUCCUGAGAGGGAGAUCCCCCACACUGGUACUGAGACACGGACCAGACUCCUACGGGAGGCAGCAGUGAGGAAUAUUGGACAAUGGGCGCAAGCCUGAUCCAGCCAUGCCGCGUGCAGGAUGACGGUCCUAUGGAUUGUAAACUGCUUUUAUACGAGAAGAAACACUCCAACGUGUUGGAGCUUGACGGUAUCGUAAGAAUAAGGAUCGGCUAACUCCGUGCCAGCAGCCGCGGUAAUACGGAGGAUCCAAGCGUUAUCCGGAAUCAUUGGGUUUAAAGGGUCCGUAGGCGGUUUAGUAAGUCAGUGGUGAAAGCCCAUCGCUCAACGGUGGAACGACCAUUGAUACUGCUGAACUUGAAUUAUUAGGAAGUAACUAGAAUAUGUAGUGUAGCGGUGAAAUGCUUAGAGAUUACAUGGAAUACCAAUUGCGAAGGCAGGUUACUACUAAUGGAUUGACGCUGAUGGACGAAAGCGUGGGUAGCGAACAGGAUUAGAUACCCUGGUAGUCCACGCCGUAAACGAUGGAUACUAGCUGGUGGGAGCAAUCUCAGUGGCUAAGC